UACGUAGGGUGCAAGCGUUGUCCGGAAUUAUUGGGCGUAAAGCGCUCGUAGGCGGUUUGUUGCGUCGGCUGUGAAAUCCCGAGGCUCAACCUCGGGUCUGCAGUCGAUACGAGCAAACUAGAGUGUUGCAGGGGAGACUGGAAUUCCUGGUGUAGCGGUGAAAUGCGCAGAUAUCAGGAGGAACACCGGUGGCGAAGGCGGAUCUCUGGGCCUGUCCUGACGCUGAGGCGCGAAAGCUAGGGGAGCGAACAGG
rnacentral:rRNA from 1 species